rnacentral:rRNA from 1 species
AGAGUUUGAUCCUGGCUCAGAUUGAACGCUGGCGGCAUGCCUAACACAUGCAAGUCGAACGGUAACAGGCCCUUCGGGGUGCUGACGAGUGGCGAACGGGUGAGUAAUACGUAGGAAUCUGCCCAGUAGUGGGGGAUAACCCGGGGAAACUCGGGCUAAUACCGCAUACGCUCUACGGANGGAAAGCGGGGGACCGAAAGGCCUCGCGCUAUUGGAUGAGCCUACGUCGGAUUAGCUAGUUGGUGAGGUAAUGGCUCACCAAGGCGACGAUCCGUAGCUGGUCUGAGAGGACGAUCAGCCACACUGGGACUGAGACACGGCCCAGACUCCUACGGGAGGCAGCGGUGGGGAAUAUUGGACAAUGGGCGAAAGCCUGAUCCAGCAAUGCCGCGUGUGUGAAGAAGGCCUGCGGGUUGUAAAGCACUUUCAGUGGGGAAGAAAAGCU